rnacentral:rRNA from 1 species
UACGGGGGGGGCAAGCGUUGUUCGGAAUUACUGGGCGUAAAGGGCUCGUAGGCGGCCAACUAAGUCAGACGUGAAAUCCCUCGGCUUAACCGGGGAACUGCGUCUGAGACUGAUGAGCUUGAGUGCAGGAGAGGAACGCGGAAUUCCAGGUGUAGCGGUGAAAUGCGUAGAUAUCUGGAGGAACACCGGUGGCGAAGGCGGCGUUCUGGACUGCAACUGACACUGAAAGACGAAAGCCAGGGGAGCAAACGGG